UGGGGAAUUUUGGACAAUGGGGGAAACCCUGAUCCAGCGAUGCCGCGUGUGUGAAGAAGGCCUUCGGGUUGUAAAGCACUUUAAGCAGGGAAGAAUCCAGUUUGACCUAACACGUCAGACCUUGACGGUACCUGCAGAAUAAGCACCGGCUAACUCUGUGCCAGCAGCCGCGGUAAUACAGAGGGUGCAAGCGUUAAUCGGAUUUACUGGGCGUAAAGCGUGCGUAGGUGGUUCAGUGUGUCGGUCGUGAAAUCCCCGGGCUUAACCUGGGAACUGCGGCCGAAACUGCUGAGCUAGAGUGUGGUAGAGGGUGGUGGAAUUCCGGGUGUAGCGGUGAAAUGCGUAGAUAUCCGGAGGAACAUCGAUGGCGAAGGCAGCCGCCUGGGCCACAACUGACACUGAGGUACGAAAGCGUGGGUAGCAAACAGG
rnacentral:rRNA from 1 species